UAGUGUCUCCCCAGCACCUGCAGCCUGUACCAUAACCUGCAGCCGGGACCCUUGACACAGGCUAGCCUUGCAGGCUAUCUAUUCUCCACGUCGUUCCUACUGUAAGUGUGGACCAGCACUAUCUGAACUUGUGCGGAAUCUCAGGCUGACUGAAUUUGAAUCUGCAUUUUAACAGACCAACCGUGUCAUUCUAUCCUUCAAAGUUUGAGAAGCACCCCUUUCAUGGGGUGCCAGAAUGAUUUUUUACAAUAUAAAGUAAAAGC
rnacentral:lncRNA from 10 species